UCUCACACGUAUGGGUGCCUGUGUUACCUCAUGGAGAAAGGGAUUCCCGUUCUUUGAAUGCUUCGCAAACAGUGUCAGUUGUAUGACUAGUUGCCUGCGUUGCCACUGAUAACUUGGACUCUGAACUCAGGUGUAAUUAUGAAGAUAAAAUGGCAUAAUAAAUGCAACAAUACAUGAAUCAUUCUUGAACUGAGUCGAUAUCAAACAUCCAGAGCUUCAUCUGCAUUCGAUGAAGGUCCAACUCACUCAAGGCAAGUUCCAGGAGGAUUUCAAAUACAUGGGUAAUUUG